rnacentral:rRNA from 1 species
ACAAGCGGUGGAGUAUGUGGUUAAUUCGAAGCAACGCGAAGAACCUUACCAGGCUUGACAUACCGGGCAAAGCCUCAGAGAUGGGGAAAUAGUUAUGCCGGAUACAGGUGGUGCAUGGUUGUCGUCAGCUCGUGUCGUGAGAUGUUGGGUUAAGUCCCGCAACGAGCGCAACCCUUGUCUUCAGUUACCAUCAUUUAGUUGGGGACUCUGGAGAGACUGCCGGUGACAAACCGGAGGAAGGUGGGAUGACGUCAAAUCAUCAUGCCCCUUAUGACCUGGGCUACACACGUACUACAAUGGCGUAUACAACGGGAAGCGAAAUGGUGACAUGGAGCAAAUCUCACAAAGUACGUCUCAGUUCGGAUUGAAGUCUGCAACUCGACUUCAUGAAGUCGGAAUCGCUAGUAAUCGCGGAUCAGCAUGCCGCGGUGAAUACGUUCUCGGGCCUU